AUUGAAGGCAAGGCGAUACAGUGUGUGAUUUUAAUAUCUGUGCAUGAAACUUUAAGUCACUUCAGUUCAACCGUUUCUUAAUUUUCUAUGUCAGGCUACAGAUAUAGGAUCUUAAUUUGAGCCAGUUUGCUACAGCAGGACAAUAAUCCUGCAGCAACAGGAAAUGUGAAUUAUCAUGUGGAUUUUAAUUAAUGAACAUUUCUGUAGGGGUUGAUACAUUUUUCUUAAGGGAAAAUCAAGUCUGAAGUUUCAAAGUGGAAAUUACAAACUUCAGAAGCCUUUUUAAGCCUCAAAUACACUACAAGGAAAGUUCUCCUGCAACAGGGUGAUCAAAUUAAGAUCCUACAUAUGUAUGAAAGUUAUGUACUAUAGUGGUAUAAAUAAGGCAAAGAUGCAUUUAAUUCAUGCUUAGAGACUUAGGCUUGAGAAAGUCUUAGACUACAAGUGUUUCUAAAUGCAUGUGAUUUGGGACAGUAAGAAUUCAUCUCUUUCUCUCUGUCCAUAUUCUGUAUUGUGUUGCCCCUUUAAUUCUUAUUUUCUUUUGAAGCCGUCUCUGUACAAUUACUCUAAAAGAGAAGUUGUGCCAUCAGCGUGCGGCACUGUGAGUUCCCCUCUGUUUACCAAGAGCAACCCAGAAGAGCUCAGUCCUUUGUUGAGCGCCAGUCACUCCCAGCCACACAGCUGUGACACACACGCAAGCAGAAUCUUAGAAUGCGACCAGACAGACGGCUGCCAUCACGUCCCCACUGUCAUUCAUUCACAUGCUGAGAUCACAGCGCAGGCCAUCACAACCACUCAACAGGCUCCUCCCUAACACUGAGGGCUGGCAUUAUUAUCCAGUGGACAUGUGUAAACUCCUGAACCCAGACUCUUUUAAGAGACAACACAGAGACUGGAGCUGGAAGCCACCUGGGAUGGACUCAGACUCCCAUGAUCCUCUCUGGGCUGGCUGCUCAUCAUUAACCUGAUGACACCACUGUACCAUGGGAACACAUGAAUACAUUCCUCAAUAUAAACAAAACAACAAAUGCGCUAUAUCUCAUGAAUUAACCUUUGGGGAAUAGUCCUGUUUCUUGUCAGAAGGUUAUCAUCACAGUAGUACUCCUGCAAAUACAUUAAUAUUUUCAAAAUCACACAUCUUGACUUCUUGUACUUUGGAUAUUGACUUUGUUAAACGUACUGAAAAUAACCUGGCAUGGAACCCCAGCUGAAUUCACUUGGGAAACACAGCAAAACAAAACAAAAACAGACACUCAAAUGAACAGGUUUCCUCAUAAAUGAUUCCCUUCGAAGACAGUGAAAUGCAUUUCAAUUAGAAGCAGAGAAAAGUGUGGGUAGGAAAACAAACUGUGAAUUUAAUGAACAUUAAAUGUGUAACAUUUGUUUCUGACACUCUAUUUUGGUGACUGCCAUGCCCAUGAUUUGCUGGAUUGCUGUAGUGAAUUUUACCAUG
rnacentral:lncRNA from 1 species